rnacentral:lncRNA from 1 species
AACAGCAAGAAUCUCACAAUUUGAAGAAAAAAAUUCUUUAGAAGACAGGGCAGAAAAGCCACCACCAACCCAACCCGACCGGCUACGUAACAACGCGCAAACACUUCAAGAACAAAUGGUCAUUAAACCAACAGCUCACACACAAGCAGGCGGCUGCAAAACGUGCUCCAUUCGGGACGGGAAAGGUUCCUCCUACCCCACGCCACAGGGGCUGAAUGGGCCGGCCGCGGAGCAAUGCUCCGGUCCGCAGCCCGAGCUGCCGGGGCCUUACGCCCGACAACCGGCAGCAGGAGAGCGAGCUGGGGCUGCGCCUACACCCCUCAACAGUUUCCCCUCCACUCAGCACAACUUACGAGCGCCUGCCGUGCCGUACCUGAGAGCUGAGGUACCGCCUGAGGCACUCCUCGCACACCGCCUUCUUGCAGCACGACAGGGGCUUGAUGGGCUUCUCCUCCAGGCACACACGGCAACUCAGCAUCAGCAGCGGCCCGAACUCGCCCGCGAUCAGCCCGGAGAAGGGGUCGGGCAGCAGGUACAAGUCCACCACCUCGAUGCUGCCGCCCGCCGACAGCGGGUCGCCGCCUGCCGCCACCCCGCGCCGCGACGGGGGCUGCCCCGCGCCUGGGCCGCCGCUGUCCGUGCCGCCGCGAGAGGAGGCGGGGGCCGCCACCGGCCGGUCGUUCUCCACACAGUAGACUGUGCAGUACAGCUGCCGCCGGGGGGGGCGGCGGCGGCCGUUGCCCCCCUCCGAACCCGGCCCCUCCUCCGCCAGAGUCGCCGACUCCUCCGCGGCCGGCGGCUCCUUCGGCCCGGCCACAGCCUCCGCCUCCUCCUCUUCGGUCCCUUGCCGCUCGGGGCUGGGGGCGGGCGGCGGCGGCUCCCCACUUCGCCCCGGCUCGGCCGCCUCGCCGCCCGGGACAGCCUCUCGCUGCUGAGGCGGGUCGUCCGGGCUGAACUCCCAAGGGCGCCCGGCCAGGCUCGGCAGCGCGGUGGUGGCAGCGCUCAGCGAGCUCUGCUGCUCCCCCAUCGCCGCCCGCCGUCGCUCCUUCCCAUCCAGCCGCCUCCCGGCCCCGCUUCUGCUUCCGGGUCCCGAGCCCCGCGGCCCGCCGCACCGAGCCCUGCACCGCCCGCCCGCGGGCGCUAGCCGCCGUAGCCCGGCCUCCUCCCCGCGGGACUGCAGGGGUAGAGAAAGGGAGCGGCGGGUGCCGCUCAGGUCAGCGCCGCCCGCGGGGUCUCGGCCGGAGCCCGGACCCCAUGCCCGGGGAGGACGCGGGCAGCCGCCGCUGGCGCGGCGGGGCAGC